AGGGCUUCUGAUUGUAAUCCAGGAUGAAGUUAAUAUACAAGUCAUGCUUAAAACUAUUGCACAUCACAAAGGGCCUUCUGUUUAUGUGUUUGCCAGUGAAGGAAGGGGAGUUUGACUGUAUGUAUAUGCCUACACUGCAAAUUUAGAAGGGAAACAGGACGCAUCGGAGAAGCAUAAAUUGGAGGGUUGACUGUCCCUGUCAUAGUCAUGGAAGAAACCCUUGCACCAACAUGUCGUGCCUGGUUUUAGGGGUAUCAAGGGGAUUACCAAUGUUACUCCUGAGGAAAUGAGAGGCAUUAUUGAAAUUAUAGAUGAAACGGGGAAGUUCCAGUAUUAUACCUGGACCUGGAUGAAUUUACAUGCUCUACUGUUAUUUAGAGAUUCUUUAAAUGUUGCAAGCAACUUCAUUCUUCAGAAUUAUGUUCAGGUCUGCAGAUUAUAAUUCAGUUCUCUUGGUCGCAAGAAAUAGGCGAUAUUAUGUGCUCCAUAUAUCUUUGUGUAAACUAUCUAUAACAAGGUUAAUACCUAGCAUUUGAAAGCAAGUAAUAGUGGUGGUUCUGGGCCAAUCGAGCUUGGGUUGAUUCAAUUGUCCGCUUUUAGUUCUGAAGAGAUAGUUGCUGA